UACGAGGGGAGCAAGCGUUGUUCGGAUUUACUGGGCGUAAAGGGCGCGUAGGCGGCGUGACAAGUCACUUGUGAAAUCUCCGGGCUUAACCCGGAGCGGCCAAGUGAUACUGUCGUGCUAGAGUGCGGAAGGGGCUACUGGAAUUCUCGGUGUAGCGGUGAAAUGCGUAGAUAUCUGGAGGAAUACCGGUGGCGAAGGCGGCAUCCUGGACCGGCAUUGACGCUGAUGAGCGAAAGCUAGGGGAGCAAACGGG
rnacentral:rRNA from 1 species